GGACACAUUAUAUUAUACAGCUAUACACACAUAUAUCACAGGACACAUUAUAUCACACAGCUAUACACACAUAUAUCACAGGACACAUUAUAUCACACAGCUAUACACACACAUCUUUCUUUGGCCUGUCACUUUCUCACCUUCAAGUCCUGGAGAGCUGCGGAUUCUGAAGGAAUUGCAGAUUAGGAUCCUGAAGCAGAUGGGUGGGCUCUGGAUCCUGGCACAGCUGGGGAUUCUAGGUGCACUGGCUGUCCUAGAGGGAGCCGGCUGUCCUGAGGGGGAGCUGGGUAUUUUUUGGGGUGUAGAUCAGGACUUGUUCCAGGAAUAAAAUAUAAACUCUCUGUGUCUGAAUUUGCAGAAAUAUUUGGAAUAUAAUGUUUAACUCUUCCGAAUGCCAUUCACGACAGUAAUCCUCUCCCAAUUCCUUGUUCUUGCCAGUGCCACUCCUCU